UCCCCUAUAGCUCAAUGGUAGAGCGGCCGGCUGUUAACCGGCAGGUUGCUGGUUCGAGUCCAGCUGGGGGAG
rnacentral:tRNA from 1 species